rnacentral:rRNA from 1 species
UUUAUGGAGAGUUUGAUCCUGGCUCAGGAUGAACGCUGGCGGCGUGCCUAAUACAUGCAAGUCGAGCGAACGGACGAGAAGCUUGCUUCUCUGAUGUUAGCGGCGGACGGGUGAGUAACACGUGGAUAACCUACCUAUAAGACUGGGAUAACUUCGGGAAACCGGAGCUAAUACCGGAUAAUAUUUUGAACCGCAUGGUUCAAAAGUGAAAGACGGUCUUGCUGUCACUUAUAGAUGGAUCCGCGCUGCAUUAGCUAGUUGGUAAGGUAACGGCUUACCAAGGCAACGAUGCAUAGCCGACCUGAGAGGGUGAUCGGCCACACUGGAACUGAGACACGGUCCAGACUCCUACGGGAGGCAGCAGUAGGGAAUCUUCCGCAAUGGGCGAAAGCCUGACGGAGCAACGCCGCGUGAGUGAUGAAGGUCUUCGGAUCGUAAAACUCUGUUAUUAGGGAAGAACAUAUGUGUAAGUAACUGUGCACAUCUUGACGGUACCUAAUCAGAAAGCCACGGCUAACUACGUGCCAGCAGCCGCGGUAAUACGUAGGUGGCAAGCGUUAUCCGGAAUUAUUGGGCGUAAAGCGCGCGUAGGCGGUUUUUUAAGUCUGAUGUGAAAGCCCACGGCUCAACCGUGGAGGGUCAUUGGAAACUGGAAAACUUGAGUGCAGAAGAGGAAAGUGGAAUUCCAUGUGUAGCGGUGAAAUGCGCAGAGAUAUGGAGGAACACCAGUGGCGAAGGCGACUUUCUGGUCUGUAACUGACGCUGAUGUGCGAAAGCGUGGGGAUCAAACAGGAUUAGAUACCCUGGUAGUCCACGCCGUAAACGAUGAGUGCUAAGUGUUAGGGGGUUUCCGCCCCUUAGUGCUGCAGCUAACGCAUUAAGCACUCCGCCUGGGGAGUACGACCGCAAGGUUGAAACUCAAAGGAAUUGACGGGGACCCGCACAAGCGGUGGAGCAUGUGGUUUAAUUCGAAGCAACGCGAAGAACCUUACCAAAUCUUGACAUCCUUUGACAACUCUAGAGAUAGAGCCUUCCCCUUCGGGGGACAAAGUGACAGGUGGUGCAUGGUUGUCGUCAGCUCGUGUCGUGAGAUGUUGGGUUAAGUCCCGCAACGAGCGCAACCCUUAAGCUUAGUUGCCAUCAUUAAGUUGGGCACUCUAAGUUGACUGCCGGUGACAAACCGGAGGAAGGUGGGGAUGACGUCAAAUCAUCAUGCCCCUUAUGAUUUGGGCUACACACGUGCUACAAUGGACAAUACAAAGGGCAGCAAAACCGCGAGGUCAAGCAAAUCCCAUAAAGUUGUUCUCAGUUCGGAUUGUAGUCUGCAACUCGACUACAUGAAGCUGGAAUCGCUAGUAAUCGUAGAUCAGCAUGCUACGGUGAAUACGUUCCCGGGUCUUGUACACACCGCCCGUCACACCACGAGAGUUUGUAACACCCGAAGCCGGUGGAGUAACCUUUUAGGAGCUAGCCGUCGAAGGUGGGACAAAUGAUUGGGGUGAAGUCGUAACAAGGUAGCCGUAUCGGAAGGUGCGGCUGGAUCACCUCCUUUCU